AGAGUUUGAUCCUGGCUCAGGACGAACGCUGGCGGCGUGCUUAACACAUGCAAGUCGAACGGAAAGGCCCUUCGGGGUACUCGAGUGGCGAACGGGUGAGUAACACGUGGGUGAUCUGCCCUGCACUUUGGGAUAAGCCUGGGAAACUGGGUCUAAUACCGAAUAUGACCAUGCACUUCCUGGUGUGUGGUGGAAAGCUUUUGCGGUGUGGGAUGGGCCCGCGGCCUAUCAGCUUGUUGGUGGGGUAAUGGCCUACCAAGGCGACGACGGGUAGCCGGCCUGAGAGGGUGACCGGCCACACUGGGACUGAGAUACGGCCCAGACUCCUACGGGAGGCAGCAGUGGGGAAUAUUGCACAAUGGGCGCAGGCCUGAUGCAGCGACGCCGCGUGAGGGAUGACGGCCUUCGGGUUGUAAACCUCUUUCAGCACAGACGAAGCGCAAGUGACGGUAUGUGCAGAAGAAGGACCGGCCAACUACGUGCCAGCAGCCGCGGUAAUACGUAGGGUCCGAGCGUUGUCCGGAAUUACUGGGCGUAAAGAGCUCGUAGGUGGUUUGUCGCGUUGUUCGUGAAAACUCACAGCUUAACUGUGGGCGUGCGGGCGAUACGGGCAGACUUGAGUACUGCAGGGGAGACUGGAAUUCCUGGUGUAGCGGUGGAAUGCGCAGAUAUCAGGAGGAACACCGGUGGCGAAGGCGGGUCUCUGGGCAGUAACUGACGCUGAGGAGCGAAAGCGUGGGGAGCGUACAGGAUUAGAUACCCUGGUAGUCC
rnacentral:rRNA from 1 species